AGCUUUGUGCAGCGGCAGUGCCGUAGCCAAUGAGGUUUAUCCGAGGCAUGAUUAUUGCUAAUUGAAACAAAUGGAGCUGGGACAGGUGGAAAUCCACAAGCAUUAGGGUAAAGUUGGAUAUCU
rnacentral:snRNA from 1 species